GCGCUCAUAGCUCAGCUGGAUAGAGCAUCAGCUUGCGGAGCUGAGGGUCGUAGGUUCAAAUCCUGCUGGGCGCA
rnacentral:tRNA from 1 species